UGUAGCUACGAGUAUUUAAUCAUGUCGAAAGAAGUAGAAGACAUAGAUUCUGAAAUCCUGAUUAGUUUAGUUCAGAAUAAAUCAGAAAUUUGGGACAAAGCUGCUGAGGAUUACAAAAAUCGCAAUAAAAAAACUGAGGCAUGGAGAAGUAUUUGCGCUCAGUUGAAAGAAAAUUUUGAAAAUUUAAGUGACGGAGAAAGAAAAGAGUUUGGUCAAAUGGUUGUUAAAAGGCGGAAUAAUAUCAGAGACCAGUGGCUUAAAUAAAAGAACCGAGACAAAAACUCAAAAAAAUCAGGAGCUGCUUCAUCAAAACUGAGAAAGUAUGUGUAUCACGAACAACUAAAUUUUCUCGAGAAGGGCGUAUAUCACCGGCGGUCAACUGAGUCUAACAUGGCCUAUAAGCAGAUAGAUGAGGCAGGUCAGCAGGAAGCAGAAGAACUCUAAUCAGCAGAUCGAGGGAUGGAGACUCCAGGUGCAACUCACCAAAUUUAGCAAACUCCAUCUGCAAAAACCCUUACCGUAAAGACUACAGAUGUACAGCAGUCAACGAGAAAGAGGAAGCGAACUCUCGACGAAUUUGAACUAAGAAUGCUAAAAUCGAUUGAGGCAGGAGACCAAGAGGACCGUAAUAUGAAAUUUUUUAAGGGCAUUCUUCCUUCUAUUUAAAAGUUCAAUGACAACCAGAUUGUAGAUUUUCAGAUGGGAGUUCUGCAGGUGAUUAAAAACAUUCAGAACGCUGUUUCUAUUCCAACAACCCAACAUCAACAGCUGCAGAUUUAUACUCUCCCAUACUCUCAACAACAAACACAACAAUACCCCUGCAACAAUCCAUUGCAGAACUCUCAGCAGUAUCAGUCUUCUGGCCUUUCAUACACUUCACUGCUACCCAGUGUCUCCAAUCAACAUCAAACGAUUCCAUCAAGUAACAAUUAUUCUACUAACGUAAUAUCUCCACCUUACCUGUCUCCUGAUUCUAAUGACACACAAUCUACGAGUAAUUAUAACGAUUUGUCAUCCCCUUUCUCACAGAAUUCAGAUAUUGACUUUUGAUUUUUUUGAAGUGGAAUAUUAACCUAAAAUGUA